rnacentral:ncRNA from 1 species
ACGAUGAAGAGUUUGAUCCUGGCUCAGGAUGAACGCUGGCGGCGUGCCUAAUACAUGCAAGUCGAACGCAGUCCUUAGGGACUGAGUGGCAAACUUGGG